rnacentral:rRNA from 1 species
CCUACGGGAGGCAGCAGUAGGGAAUCUUGCGCAAUGGGCGAAAGCCUGACGCAGCAACGCCGCGUGCGGGAAGAAGGCUCUCGGGUUGUAAACCGCUUUCAGUAGGAACGCGGUACCUGCAGAAGAAGGUGCGGCCAACUACGUGCCAGCAGCCGCGGUGACACGUAGGCACCAAGCGUUGUCCGGAUUUAUUGGGCGUAAAGAGCUCGUAGGCGGUUCAGUAAGUCGGGUGUGAAAACUCAGGGCUCAACCCUGAGCGGCCACCCGAUACUGCUGGACUUGAGUCUGGUAGGGGAGUGGGGAAUUCCUGGUGUAGCGGUGAAAUGCGCAGAUAUCAGGAGGAACACCGGUGGCGAAGGCGCCACUCUGGCCCGACUGACGCUGAGGAGCGAAAGCAUGGGUAGCAAACAGGAUUAGAUACCCUUGUAGUC